UUUCAGGUCGCUCAGAUAGCACAUCGCGGUGAAAACCUAGAUCGAGCCAAUCCACUCCUGAGCCCCGUAAUCCCCUCCACUUCUAGCCCCUCCUCCUCUCCUCCCCGAGCCGCCGCCGUCGUGCCUCGCCCCUCCUCCAAGACCCCGAGCCGCCGUUGCGCCUCUCUCCCUUGACCUACCGAGCGCCGGAGGUGGAUGAGCAGCGAGAGGCGGUCAUGGAGGGCAUCUCCUCCUCGUGCACAAGCGGUUAUCCUCGAUGGGGCCCUGAGGUGGAGGCAUCGCUCUGCAAUGCGCCGGCGGUGAGGACUGGACUUGGAGGAGUCGCGACCGCGCGGGGGAGGUGUUGCAGGAGCCAGUCCCGGUGGACCAGGUUCGUUUUUCUUCCAAAACUCGGUCGGGACGGGACAACCGUCGAGGUUGGCCGGGGAAAACGAAGCGCCGAAGGUGGUUGAGAGGGCCGACGGAGGUGGAGAUAGGGAGAUGAUGCAGAAGGAGGAGGGUGUGAAAGGGGGCCGUGCUCUUCUUGGUUGGGAGGAGAGGAUGCGGGAGGAGGAUGACGAGAAGGGGUGAGGGCGCUCCAUCCGCCGCCCAGCAACGCCGGCGGCCAACACCUCCAGCGAUGCCGGCAACAACCACGCCAGCCAGGGUUGGUUGUCCGUCUUCGCCACUGACAUCCUGCAUCGAAGGUUCUCAUGGAAUGGAUAAUCAGGACAUGAUGCGCAUCGUAUACACACUGCCUGUACGGUGCUCACACGAAAUCGGCUUACCUGUUGCGCUAGAUAGCUCAAUGUUUAUCAGCGCAGAAGGAAUGUGCAUGUUCAUUCUAAACAUACAGAGAUGCAACAUCAAAGGAUGAGUUGAUGUUGGUUAAAGGGAUGAUUGUGCUUCCUCCUUGCUCAGACAUGUGUUCAUUUCUCUGGACAUUGGUUGAACAUUGCCCAUGUAGCACUCACCUGGGUGUGUAUUGUGCUAAUGUCUACCAUGGUAUAACUCAUCUUCAUGAUACUGACGUGAAUAUGAUAUUGAGGAUGUACUGAGUGGUAUUCCAGGCAAAGCAUGUGCAAUACUUUUAUUGGUUCAGCGCUGAUUAUUAUUUCCUUACCUUUCAAAGCCAUAUUUGUAGAGGCUAAGGCUGAAUCACACAAUGUUCCGGAGCUGCACCGGCCGCCCCGCACCUUCGCUCCCACCCUCGCUGGCUCCAGACGCCAGUCCUCCGCCGUUGAUAUUUUUUGGUGGUAAUAUGGAUGCACUUGCCGUUGCUGGUAUUGCCUAAUAAUACGACUACCCAUGCACAUGUCAGCUUCAUCUGAUAUUAUGUCUUUCAUUUAUAUAUCUUUUAUUUGACCCUCCAUCUUUCAACAACUUUCUUAUGGAAUACUAAACCAAACUCAGUUUACUUUGAUGCUAAUUUAUUUAGCUCUUUGUUCCAUUGCAGGAGAUUAUCAACUCACUUUUUGUUUACAGGAAAAUUUAUUGACACUCAAGAGUCAAGACAAAGGCAACACAAUUUUGAAGGUCGCUGUUUUGUGCGGCGGCGGAGCGACAAGGGACAGGAAGGUAGGAUUUUGUUACCAUUAUGCAGAUGCGCACUGACUUCUGAAAUUCAUUAAUCUAGACACCUUGGUGCUGGAGCUUUUGUGAUGAAUGACAAAUGAGGUUUUGAUCGUUUGAUCAUGCUGGUAGUAGGCCAUUGCCCCUUCAAGCCAGCAAGAUACUUGUUGUACGUCAAUGAAUAAGAGCGUCCAUCCAAGAUACUAAGGUUAAACCCGAUUCUUUCUCUGUCAAGGGGCAUGUUUUCUUGCCGCUAUUUCAGUAAACAAUUUGAUAUGCUAAAGAAUAAUAUGUAGAGAAGUAAUAUGCCUGAUGGGAAAAAUAGGUCAAUGAAGACUGCAAUGCUUCGUCUGCUCAAAUCACAACCUCGGGGGAACCAGGAACUGAUUUUAGGCAGCCGAUGGUGAUGGACCAGGAAAGAAGCUCAACCACGGGAUUAUGAAGUUCAUGCCGCUCAAGCAGACCUUUGCGCUGCAAUCCAAGUUAGAACCGCGCAAUGGAGCAUUUUGGGAAGAGCAGAACUCAUUUUCCAUUUCUCUAGCUCUGAAUUCAGCGUUCCAGAUCAAGGACUGCCCUCUUGUCCGUCGCAUACUCGCAUGACGCAUCCAUUAUAGAUGCAAGUGUGGCAACAUUAGGUAAAUGCGUGAGGAGGACGAAGGCAGAGCUGCGCCGGCUAGGAGGAGAAGAGGCUGGGGCGCAGCGUGGAGGUGACUGUCGCCCCGGCUCUGGAUGGGAGGCGCGGGAGUAGUGAUGCGGGUAAGGACGCGGUGGUGGGUUCCUCCGCGCCGCCACUCCCCUUUUUCCAGCGACAGCUCGUCGGUGCCUCCUUCCGCGUGGUCGUAUGGCGGCACGGCAACUUGCGCUCGACCACGCCUACUCGUCGAGCGUAACGGCGGCUGCUGUGUUGUCCUCGUUGACCGUGGAAUUGCAGCAUGGUUGACCCCGUGCGGGUGCUCUUUGCUUGGCCUCACGCAGCCCUUGACUGCACCCUUGCUCAUCGCCCCAUGGCGCUCAGAGUGUGUCAAAUCAGCAGCGGUCGCGGGAGGAGAUCAACCGGUGCUGCCGCCUCUUCUAUACCACACCUAUGGCCGGAGCUCCUAACCCCUCUCCCUAUUUCGAUUUGCGUGUGUUGGUCAAAUGCGUUUGUGGUCUUCGAGUAAUCGCCAGCCGUGGUCUGUCCAGAGAUCUCUGCAAGGAGCUGGUGGAAGGGUGCUCGUCUCUGGACAGCUCCUGCUUCUCCAUCUCCACGGUCUCUGGUGGCAUCACCAAGCUAUAUUGUCAUAUAACUUAAUGAAUGCACCACUGUAAGAUUGCUUGCUGGUACUAUUUAUCAAGGCGAGUGAUGGCGGCGGUAGCGGGGUACAGCAGCGGCCUCGGGUGGUGAAGGAUGGUGUCUGUCGAGGCACCAACAGGUGCAACUUGUUGGUUGUGGCUUGGCAAGCGUCGCCUCGGCGAGUGCCGGUGCGGCUUCUUUUUUCCUUCCGGUGAGCACCUUGUGCUGGGCACUGGAGUAUUGCAUGCCCUUUUUGGAUGAGAUUUGUGUAUCCACGUGCUGCUGCCCAUCUACAUGACUUGAGGUUGUCCCGUUUGUUCUAGCGGAGGCAGGUCUUCUGUGAGGAUUGUAGCUGCAGGAGAUAGGGUCAGUACACCAGAUUUCAGCAUCACAGUCAUUGUACUGGUUGCCGCAGUGAUGCUUCUCCGCACAGGUGCCGGUGGUUGCGACUGUCGACAAUUGUGUGUCAUACAACAUGUCCAUCACAUGUUUGAUCAGGCUGCCUCAGUGACGGUUAUGACCGUGGCGCAGGUAUACUUAUCCUACUCACAUUUGUUUUCCCUCUCUCCUUGGUAUUGUCAUAUGCUCUACUUUUUAUUCCGCAUUCUUAGAGGUAUAUACAGGUCAUUUCAUCAUCAGUUUUUCGGGUCACUUAUUGCUGCAAUAGCUGGGGAGGUUGGAAAGGAGCGUGAAUUGUAUGGCCAGUCUCUUGUAAUCAUCCUCCCUAAACUUUGAUUUGAUAUUUCUGCAUCUGUUGUACUGCAAUUUAAUUUUAGUGUCCUCAGGUUUCCAUUAAUUCGGAAACCUAAAUUAUGUACAUAUGUGUGUUUGUUAUGUGCUUCUUAGUGAUGAACCCGAUGCAUCUUUACUGGGGAAAAAAUACUACUUGAUAUGUGCUUCUUAUCAAAGAUGAUCAUGGUGCAAAAAUGAAUAUU